rnacentral:tRNA from 2 species
GGGACAGUAACUCAGUUGGGAGAGUGCCAGACUGAAGAUCUGGAAGUCGCCGGUUCAAGCCCGGCCUGUCCCACCA